UACGUAGGGGGCGAGCGUUGUCCGGAUUUAUUGGGCGUAAAGAGCUCGUAGGCGGCUUGGCAAGUCGGGUGUGAAAACUUCAGGCUCAACCUGGAGAUGGCACUCGAUACUGCUAUGGCUAGAGUCCGGUAGGGGACCACGGAAUUCCUGGUGUAGCGGUGAAAUGCGCAGAUAUCGGGAGGAACACCAACGGCGAAGGCAGCACUCUGGGCUGGAACUGACGCUGAGGAGCGAAAGCGUGGGUAGCAAACAGG
rnacentral:rRNA from 1 species